GGCGUAAUGUCUGUUCAUCUUUAAGCUGAAGAAGUGACUCUUGGGAGCCGUGGUGAAUGUGUCUGUGUUGGUUUCUCCAGAUGUGUCUGGUGAAGGCGGUCAGAGCGGAGGGCAGUUCCAGGGCCGGCCGUCUGAGGUCUGGUCUCAGUGGCAGAGUCAACACCACAGUCAGCAGGGAGGAGACCAGCAUCCUCAUCCUCAGUCCAGCCAGAGCGAGGUCUUCCAGGAUAUGCUGCCGAUGGCAGGGGAUCCAACCCAAGGAACAACCAAUUACAACAUCGAAGACUUUGCCGACCUCGGCAUGAGUCCCGCCGUUUUCUGAGUAAUCGCAGACUCUUUUGUUUGUUUGUUUGUUUCAGUUCGGACUGCAGUAACUUCAUCUCACAUGUGACACACAUCACGCUGCUGAAACUCAUUUCUGCCUACACACACACACACACACACACACACACACACACACACACAAACACACAGUUGACACUAUUGACUUGAUCACUUGUACACAAACAGUUAAAACACACAGCGCUAGGAGCAAAAUAAAUAUAUUCCCAGUUUUGAUGCUUUUCUUUCAUUUAAUCAUCAUGUGAUGAUGAACUGCUGCCAUUAGCACAAAAAAUGUUACAGACAAUUUUGUGAGCAGUA